UUUUUAUCCGAAGAGAUCUGGACGUUAUGUAACCGCCUUGUGAACCGUAUAUUUUGAGGCGCGAAGCUGAAGGCCAGCCAGUGUUCGUCUGACCUCUGUCGGAUGCUGUUGACCAUGGGGAGGAAGGCAUUUUUUCUUUGCUUUCUGGUGCUUUUGUCCCUCGCCAUGUUGACGGCCGCUCAUCCAAGAGUGUCACCGAGGGGCGGUCCCUGCGUGUGCCAUAAGCCCCCUUGCCCGUGCGAGCCGGCGCCGCUCUUCCCUUCGCCCGCCUCAGUCCUAGGAGAUGACAGCUCGCCUUUCCCCUGAGAACGCUACUGCGAACUUAGAAGAUUAUUCAAGAUCAGGGGGGGAGUUAUUUUUUUGAAAUCCUCAUUUUCCUAAUAUUAAUUUCCUUUGUAACUUCAUAGCCAUUAUUAUUUUUUCUUGUCUUACUGUUAUUAUUCAGUAUCAUUAUUUUUCAUGAUUAUCUUCGAUUUUGUAUUGUUUUUGUGACAAGGGAAUUUAGUGCUAUGCAUAUACAAGCAACAUUCUGUCAAGAAGACAAAAUAAUCAUUUGUUUAUGCAUGAGCUUGUGUGAUAAUAUAUAUAUUUUACACUAAAAA